UGUAGGUGGGCAUCAUUCAAUCUGUUGAGGGCCUGAACAAAACAAAAGGUGAGGAAGGAGGAGUUUGCACAUUUUCCUGCCUCGCUGCUGGAGCUGUGACUCAUUUCAUCUUCUCCUGCCUGUGGACUGGUUUUACACCAGGGGCUCCUCUGGUUCUCAGACCUUUGCACUUGGACUGAGUUGUACCUCUGGCUUUCCUGGGUCUCAAGUUUACAGAUGGCAGAUCAUAGGACUUCUCCGUCUCCAUAAUUGCGUGAGCCAAUUCCUCAAAAUAAAUCAUCUUUUAUACGAAAAAAGUGGAGGGGAUGUUUCUCCUGUAAAUAUUCAACAGCAGCAAGAAGGCAAAAAGAAGAAAUGACUCUUUACUAGUCUGUGUCCAGUGAAGAAAAGAACAUUAUGGGGAUCCCACUCUGUGGGGAGAGCAGACUGCACUUGGCUGAUCUAUCCAGAAGGAGUCUUAAAGGACUGUUUGCAUUAAAGACUUCCUAGGGCUAAAUAUUAAGGACCUCAGACAGCUAAAGUGGACUUGAACACAAAACACAUACACUCGCUAGAGAGGCCAGUGCCAGUGGGAGGGAGAUUUAAGAGACCCGUUUAUCAUCCAACGAAAUGGAUGAAAGUGGAAAGAAAUUUAAAUGUUGUUGCUCCAUGUGGGGUACUUGUGGUCCAUUUCAAAGCCUGAAAAUUGGCUAAACUAUAGUCAGCUGACACUUAGCCCUUCUCCUCCUCCUUUCCAACCCUUUAAUCUCUCUUUCAUAUCACCCUUCAUCUGCCCCCCCACUUCUUUUAUGGGAAGGUAUGAAGCACGUUCUCCUCAUCCUCUUUUUUGCCUCCUCUUCCUCAUUACUGUUAUUCUUAAUAGCCAUGGGUCUUGAGCACUUACUCUGUUGAAAGCCCAGUAUUAGGCACCGUGAAUGCACGGUCUUUUAUGUAAACCAUGUAACAUUUAGUAGAGAACAUUUAUAGCUCCAGCUGAGGGAUGAAGAAAUGGAGACUCCAAGAUGCAACCUCCUCAAAGUCACACAGCUCGGCAGAGGCAGAUGUGGCGUUUACACCGAGUACUGUUUGGUUUCCAUACUAGUAACUUUUGUAUUGCAUUACCAGUAUCCUCUCCCUCCACCCAAUCAGUGCUUAUUAAAUACAUAAAUAUACAGUAUAAAUAAAU
rnacentral:lncRNA from 1 species